rnacentral:rRNA from 1 species
UGAAUACGAGAUGCUACGGCGUCGAAGCAGUCUAUGUCAUACUUCCAAGAAAAGCUUGCACUGUCAUAAACAAAUAAUGCCUGUACCAUAACCGACACAGGUGGGUAGGUAGAGUAUACUAAGGGGCGCGAGAUAACUCUCUCUAAGGAACUCGGCAAAAUGACUCCGUAACUUCGGGAGAAGGAGUGCCUUAUUUAUAAGGUUGCAAUAACAAGACCCAAGCAACUGUUUAUCAAAAACACAGGUCUCCGCUAAGUCGUAAGACGAUGUAUGGGGGCUGACGCCUGCCCAGUGCCAGAAGGUUAAAGAAGUUGGUUAGCAUUAGCGAAGCUGAUGACUGAAGCCCUGGUGAACGGCGGCCGUAACUAUAACGGUCCUAAGGUAGCGAAAUUCCUUGUCGGGUAAGUUCCGACCCGCACGAAAGGCGUAAUGAUUUGGGUACUGUCUCAGAGAGGGACUCGGUGAAAUAGACUUGUCUGUGAAGAUGCGGACCACCUGCACCUGGACAGAAAGACCCUAUGAAGCUUUACUGUAACCUGAAAUUGAAAUUGGACUUUAUUUGCGCAGUAUAGGUGGGAGGCUUUGAAGAUAUUCUUGCGGGAAUGUUGGAGCCAUCAGUGAGAUACCACUCUUGUAAUGUUAGAUUUCUAACUUUGUAUCAUUAUCUGGUCAAAGAACAGUUUCAGGCGGGCAGUUUGACUGGGGCGGUCGCCUCCUAAACGGUAACGGAGGCGCACAAGGGUUUCCUCUGAACGGGUAGAAAUCGUAUCUAGAGUGUAAAGGCAUAAGGAAGCUUGACUGUGAGACCUACAAGUCGAGCAGGGACGAAAGUCGGUCUUAGUGAUCUGACGGUGCUGAGUGGAAAGGCCGUCACUCAACGGAUAAAAGUUACUCUAGGAUAACAGGCUGAUCUCCCCCAAGAGUUCACAUCGACGGGGAGGUUUGGCACCUCGAUGUCGGCUCAUCGCAUCCUGGGGCGGUAGUACGUCCCAAGGGUUGGGCUGUUCGCCCAUGAAAGCGGUACGCGAGCUGGGUUCAGAACGUCGUGAGACAGUUCGGUCCAUAUCCGGUGUAGGCGUUAGAAUAUUGAGAGGAGCCUUCUCUAGUACGAGAGGACCGAGAAGGACACACCUCUGGUGUACCAGUUAUCGUGCCAACGGUAAACGCUGGGUAGCUAUGUGUGGAGCGGAUAACCGCUGAAAGCAUCUAAGUGGGAAGCCCACCUCAAGAUAAGUAUUCUCAUC